rnacentral:rRNA from 1 species
CCGGAUGGCCUUUCAAGCUUUCGGGCUGGAAAGAAAAGGUAGCUUCGGCCUCCGACCGAGGAUGAGCCCGCGGCGGAUUAGCUAGUUGGUGGGGUAAUGGCCCACCAAGGCAACGAUCCGUAGCUGGUCUGAGAGGACGAUCAGCCACACUGGGACUGAGACACGGCCCAGACUCCUACGGGAGGCAGCAGUGGGGAAUCUUGUCCAAUGGGCGAAAGCCUGAGACAGCGACGCCGCGUGCGGGAAGAAGGCCUUCGGGUUGUAAACCGCUUUCAGGAGGGACGAAGCCACUCGGGUUAAUAGCCCAGAGGGUGACGGUACCUCCAGAAGAAGCCCCGGCUAACUACGUGCCAGCAGCCGCGGUAAUACGUAGGGGGCAAGCGUUGUCCGGAUUUAUUGGGCGUAAAGAGCGUGUAGGCGGCUAGGUAGGUCCGUUGUGAAAACUCGAGGCUCAACCUCGAGACGUCGAUGGAAACCAUCUGGCUAGAGUCCGGAAGAGGAGAGUGGAAUUCCUGGUGUAGCGGUGAAAUGCGCAGAUAUCAGGAAGAACACCCGUGGCGAAGGCGGCUCUCUGGGACGUGACUGACGCUGAGACGCGAAAGCGUGGGGAGCGAACAGGAUUAGAUACCCUGGUAGUCCACGCUGUAAACGAUGGGUGCUAGGUGUGGGGGGUGUCGACUCCCUCCGUGCCGAAGCUAACGCAUUAAGCACCCCGCCUGGGGAGUACGGCCGCAAGGCUAAAACUCAAAGGAAUUGACGGAAUCGAAUU